rnacentral:rRNA from 1 species
AGAGUUUGAUCCUGGCUCAGAACGAACGCUGGCGGCAGGCUUAACACAUGCAAGUCGAACGCUCGUAGCAAUACGGGAGUGGCAGACGGGUGAGUAACGCGUGGGAACAUACCCUCCGGUUCGGAAUAGCUCAGGGAAACUUGGAUUAAUACCGGAUACGGCUGAGAGGCGAAAGAUUUAUCGCCGGAGGAUUGGCCCGCGUUCGAUUAGCUUGUUGGUGAGGUAACGGCUCACCAAGGCGAUGAUCGAUAGCUGGUCUGAGAGGAUGAUCAGCCACAUUGGGACUGAGACACGGCCCAAACUCCUACGGGAGGCAGCAGUGGGGAAUAUUGGACAAUGGGCGCAAGCCUGAUCCAGCCAUGCCGCGUGAGUGAUGACGGCCUUAGGGUUGUAAAGCUCUUCGCUCG